rnacentral:rRNA from 1 species
GUGCCAGCAGCCGCGGUAAUACGGAGGAUGCAAGCGUUAUCCGGAUUUAUUGGGUUUAAAGGGUGCGUAGGCGGACUGACAAGUCAGGGGUGAAAGCCCGGUGCUCAACACCGGAACUGCCCUUGAUACUGCCAGCCUUGAAUUCGGAUGCCGUGGGAGGAAUGAGUAGUGUAGCGGUGAAAUGCAUAGAUAUUACUCAGAACACCGAUUGCGAAGGCAUCUCACGAAUCCGACAUUGACGCUGAGGCACGAAAGCGUGGGGAUCAAACAGGAUUAGAUACCCUGGUAGUCCACGCAGUAAACGAUGAUGACUAACCGUCGGCGAUACACAGUCGGUGGCCAAGCGAAAGCGAUAAGUCAUCCACCUGGGGAGUACGACCGCAAGGUUGAAACUCAAAGGAAUUGACGGGGGCCCGCACAAGCGGAGGAACAUGUGGUUUAAUUCGAUGAUACGCGAGGAACCUUACCCGGGCUCGAACGGCAUGGGAAGAACCCAGAGAUGGGAACGUCCUUCGGGACUCAUGUCGAGGUGCUGCAUGGUUGUCGUCAGCUCGUGCCGUGAGGUGUCGGCUCAAGUGCCAUAACGAGCGCAACCCUUGUCGCCAGUUACCAUCAAGUUGUGUUGGGGACUCUGGCGAGACUGCCACCGCAAGGUGAGAGGAAGGAGGGGAUGACGUCAAAUCAGCACGGCCCUUACGUCCGGGGCGACACACGUGUUACAAUGGCGGCCACAGAGGGAUGCUACCUGGCGACAGGAUGCUGAUCUCGAAAAGCCGUCUCAGUUCGGACUGGAGUCUGCAACCCGACUCCACGAAGCUGGAUUCGCUAGUAAUCGCGCAUCAGCCAUGGCGCGGUGAAUACGUUCCCGGGCCUUGCACACACCGCCCGU